rnacentral:rRNA from 1 species
AACGUAGGGGGCAAGCGUUAUCCGGAUUUACUGGGCGUAAAGCGCCCGUAGGCGGCCUGACAAGUUGGACGUGAAAGCUCCUGGCUUAACUGGGAGAGGCCGUUCAAAACUGUCAAGCUAGAGUCUGGAAGAGGAGAGCGGAAUUCCCGGUGUAGUGGUGGAAUGCGUAGAGAUCGGGAGGAACACCAGUGGCGAAAGCGGCUCUCUGGUCCAAAACUGACGCUGAGGGGCGAAAGCGUGGGGAGCGAACGGG